GUCGCUUCUUGGCCUUUUGGCUAAGAUCACGUGUAAUAUCUGGGCUUAUCAGUUUAAUAUCUGAUACAUAUCACAUUAUGAUACCUUAUAUUAAAUAGACUAGUGUAAGUACCGGUUGAAAAAGGCAGACAUGCAUGGACUUACAACAACCGCCAUUCGCCACUAAGUGGUGGUGACGUCAC
ensembl:snRNA U2 U2 spliceosomal RNA